UCUGGUUGAUCCCGGCGGAGGCCACUGCUAUCGGAGUUCGAUUAAGCCAUGCGAGUCGAGAGGUGUAAGACCUCGGCAUACUGCUCAGUAACACGUGGACAACCUACCCUGAAGAGGGGGAUAACCCCGGGAAACUGGGGAUAAUACCCCAUAGACUAUGGAUGCUGGAAUGCUUUGUAGUUGAAAGGUCCGCCGCUUCAGGAUGGGUCUGCGGCCGAUUAGGUUGUUGUUGGGGUAACGGCCCAACAAGCCUGUAAUCGGUACGGGUUGUGGGAGCAAGAGCCCGGAGAUGGAUUCUGAGACACGAAUCCAGGCCCUACGGGGCGCAGCAGGCGCGAAAACUUUACAAUGCGAGAAAUCGUGAUAAGGGAACUCCGAGUGCCCGUAAAAUCGGGCUGUCCGCCAGUGUAAAUAACUGGUGAAGAAAGGGCCGGGCAAGACCGGUGCCAGCCGCCGCGGUAAUACCGGCGGCUCGAGUGGUGGCCACUAUUACUGGGCUUAAAGCGUUCGUAGCUGGUCUGUUAAGUCUCUGGGGAAAUCUUCCGGCUUAACCGGAAGGCGUCUCAGGGAUACUGGCAGACUAGGGACCGGAAGAGGUGAGAGGUACUCCAGGGGUAGGAGUGAAAUCCUGUAAUCCUUGGGGGACCACCUGUGGCGAAGGCGUCUCACCAGGACGGCUCCGACAGUGAGGAACGAAAGCUGGGGGAGCAAACCGGAUUAGAUACCCGGGUAGUCCCAGCUGUAAACGAUGCGCGUUAGGUGUAUCGGUGACCACGAGUCACCGAGGUGCCGAAGAGAAAUCGUGAAACGCGCCGCCUGGGAAGUACGGUCGCAAGGCUGAAACUUAGAGGAAUUGGCGGGGGAGCACCACAACGGGUGGAGCCUGCGGUUUAAUCGGACUCAACGCCGGGAAACUCACCGGACAAGACAGCUGAAUGAUAGUCGGGCUGAAGACUCUACUUGACUAGCUGAGAGGAGGUGCAUGGCCGUCGUCAGUUCGUACUGUGAAGCAUCCUGUUAAGUCAGGCAACGAGCGAGACCCA
rnacentral:rRNA from 1 species